UGUAAGUUGAGCGCGAAAAGGGUAACCUGAGUAGAGCGGCGCACGGGUGCGUAACACGUGGGUAAUUUGUCUCAAAGUUUAGGAUAACCUUUUGAAAGGUUGGUUAAUAUUAUUGAAGUUCAUAAGGUCUUUGGACCAAGGGAGAAAAGUUGGCCUUUGUUUAUAUGCUAACGCUUUGAGAUGAGCCCGCGGCCCAUCAGCUAGUUGGUGAGGUAAUGGCUCACCAAGGCUAUGAUGGGUAGCUGGUCUGAGAGGAUGAUCAGCCACACUGGAACUGAGAUAUGGUUCAGACUCCUAUGGGAGGUAGUAGUGGGGAAUUUUGCACAAUGGGCGCAAGCUUGAUGUAGCAACGCCGCGUGUGUGAUGAAGGUCUUCGGAUCGUAAAGCACUUUCGACCGGGACGAAUAAGCUACUUUUAAUAUGAGUGGUUUUGAUGGUACCGGGAGAAGAAGCACCGGUUAACUCUGUGCCAGUAGUUGUGGUAAUACAGAGGGUGCAAGCGUUGUUCGGAAUUAUUGGGCGUAAAGCGCGGGUAGGCGGCUUGAAAAGUCGGGUGUGAAAGUCCUCAGUUUAAUUGAGGAAGUGCGCCCGAAAUUUUCGAGCUUGAGUGCCGGAGAGGAUGGCGGAAUGCCCCAAGUAGAGGUGAAAUUCGUAGAUAUGGGGUGGAAUAUUGGUGGUGAAGGUGGCCAUCUGGACGGUAAUUGACGCUGAGCCGCGAAAGCGUGGGUAGUAAACAGGAUUAGAUAUCCUGGUAGUCCACGCUGUAAACGAUGAGAACUAGGUGUCGCGGGUGUUGAUUCCUGCGGUGCCGAAGUUAAUGUAUUAAGUUCUCCGCCUGGGAAGUACGGCCGUAAGGCUAAAACUCAAAGGAAUUGACGGGGGCCCGCACAAGCGGUGGAGCAUGUGGUUUAAUUCGACUAUGCGUAGAAUUUUACCAGGUCUUGACAUCCUUCGAACGACCCUGAAAAGGGUUGGUGCCCGUAAGGGAACGGAGUGACAGGUGCUGUAUGGCUGUCGUCAGCUUGUGUUGUGAGAUGUUGGGUUAAGUCCCGCAAUGAGCGCAACUCUCGCCUUUAGUUGCCACGUAAGUGGAUUUCUAGAGGGACCGCCAGUGAUAAGCUGGAGGAAGGUGGGGAUGACGUCAAGUUUUUAUGGCCUUUAUGAUUUGGGUUAUACACGUGCUACAAUGGCCGGUAUAAAGCGUUAGCCAACUCGUGAGAGGGAGCUAAUUGCAUAAAACCGGUCUUAGUUCGGAU
rnacentral:rRNA from 1 species